rnacentral:RNase_P_RNA from 1 species
CGACCUCGAUAACUGCUGGUUAUUCCAGAGGAAAGUCCAUGCUCGCACUGGCUGUGAUGCCAGUAGUGAUUGCGCUAGCGGAAAAAAUAACGCUAGGUAUGCGGGAGCGCAUAACGGCGGGAAAAUACCUAAAGCCUCGGCUACGGUGGAUUCCCUGAAAGUGCCACAGUGACGAAGCUUAGCGGAAACGCUAAGGUGGAACGCGGUAAACCCCACAAGCGAGAAACCCAAAAUUGGUAGGGGAAGUGUACCUAGAGAAGCGAAUCGCGGUACGCAUGCACGUAGUGCAUAGAUAAAUUGUUAUCCUUGACAGAACAUGGCUUACAGGG